rnacentral:snRNA from 1 species
AUACUUACCUAGAUGGGAUCAAUGGGCGAUGAGCGAUCAAGAAGGCCCAUGGCCUAGGUUGAUGACCUCCGUUGCACUCUGGAGGGCGCUCGCCUAAGGUCGGCCCAAGUGGCCGAACCUAUGUCAUAAUUUGUGGCAGUGGGGCUUGCGUUCGUGCGGCCCCUAC